rnacentral:misc_RNA from 1 species
GAUGAGAACGCAGCGAAAUGCGAUAAGUAAUGCGAAUUGCAGAAUUCCGUGAGUCAUCGAAUCUUUGAACGCACAUUGCGCCCUUUGGCAUUCCGAAGGGCAUGCCUGUUCGAGCGUCAUUUAUCAACCCUCAAGCCCGGCUUGCGGUUGGGUCCCGCCGUGGGCGACCACGGCGGACCCGAAAGGUAAUGGCGGUGCCCGUGGGGCCCUGGACGCAGCGAGCUUCUCGGCACGCGUCCCGGCGGUCCCCGGCGCCGUCUCCACCAAUCCACCACGCAGAUUGACCUCGGAUCAGGUAGGGAUACCCGCUGAACUUAAGCAUAUCAAUAAGCGGAGGA